rnacentral:tRNA from 1 species
AAAAAGAUAGACUAAAAUUUUUAAGUCAUUAGACUCAUAAUCUUAAAAUAUAAUGUAUUUAUUCUUUUUA